GGUAAACCUAACAUGCAUUCACACAAUAUCCAGUUUCAGCACACUAUCACUCCUCCCUUCAUCAGUUAACCAGGUGAUGUUAUCGGUAAUGUAGUACCAUAAACCAACACUGAAUGUCUACAGUUCAUUGUGAUUUAAAUAAACACAUCAGGAAAGAUAAUCUUUUCGCAAGCAGUGGCAAGUGAUAUAAGCAGUGAGUGCAGAUACAUCCAAAAUGUAGUCUGUUUGUAUAUUGACAAAAGCUAACACUGACACUGCAAUUCAUUCAGUUUGUUAUCAUUAUUACAUGGUCCUUAGGGAAAGGAAUUAAAAUAUUAUGUGUAUGCUACCAUGGUU